AAGUCGUAACAAGGUUUCCGUAGGUGAACCUGCGGAAGGAUCAUUCAUAAUCAAGUGUUUUUAUGGCACUUUAAAAAUCCAUAUCCACCUUGUGUGCAAUGUCAUCUCACUUGGGUCACGGCUGUAAAACGCCGGCGGCCCGUUUGGGAUUUAUAUCUACUCAGAAUUUUAAUCAUUUUGUCUGAAACAUAUUAUGAAUAACUUAAUUCAAAAUACAACUUUCAACAACGGAUCUCUUGGCUCUCGCAUCGAUGAAGAACGCAGCGAAAUGCGAUACGUAAUGUGAAUUGCAGAAUUCAGUGAAUCAUCGAAUCUUUGAACGCAUAUUGCGCUCUCUGGUAUUCCGGAGAGCAUGCUUGUUUGAGUAUCAGUAAACACCUCAACUCCCUUUUUUCUUUUUUGAAAUGAGGGAGCUGGACUUGAGUGAUCCCAACGCUUUUUUCAAAAGUGGCGGGUUACUUGAAAUGCAGGUGCAGCUGGACUUUUCUCUGAGCUAAAAGCAUAUCUAUUUAGUCUGCCUAAAAACAGAUUAUUACCUUUGCUGCAGCUAACAUAAAGGAGAUGAGUUCUUGUGCUGACUGAUGCAGGAUUCACAGAGACAGCUUCGCGGCUGACUUUGUAAACUCGAUCUCAAAUCAAGUAAGACUACCCGCUGAACUUAA
rnacentral:rRNA from 1 species